AGAGAGAGACAUGCGCGCAUAUCAAUAAGCGGAGGAAAAGAAACUAACAAGGAUUCCCCUAGUAACGGCGAGUGAAGCGGGAAGAGCUCAAAUUUGAAAUCUUAAAGGGUUUCCCUUUACGAAUUGUAGUUUAAAGAAGUGUUUUCUGUUGAGGUUUUGGUAAAAGUUCUUUGGAAUAGGACAUCAUAGAGGGUGAGAAUCCCGUAUUUGACCUUUACUUUCAACUUGUGAUACACUUUCAAAGAGUCGGAUUGUUUGGGAAUGCAGUCCAAAAUGGGUGGUAAAUUUCAUCUAAAGCUAAAUAUUGGCGAGAGACCGAUAGCGAACAAGUACCGUGAGGGAAAGAUGAAAAGAACUUUGAAAAGAGAGUUAAACAGUACGUGAAAUUGUCAAAAGGGAAGCGUUUGACACCAGUGUUGUUUUUCUGAAAAUCAAUUAAAGAACUGUUUAUGCUAAGCUGUUUAGACUUUAUCAGCUAACUGUUUAGUUUUGAGCUUUUCUUUAAUGCACUUUUCAGUUAACAAGUCAACAUCAAUUUCUUUUGCUGUAAAAAAGCUUGAGGAAGGUGGCUUGAGAUUCGUCUUAAGUGUUUAUAGCCUCUUGCCUAUGCAGUCGGAGAGAUUGAGGUCUGCAGCGUAGAUCCUUCGGGGCUAAAUGCAUUUGUGCUAAGUUAUAGCAUUUUAUAGACAACUUGUUGACUAUGAUUUGUCUUGUAGCUUACUCGCUUAUGUUAUUUUACCUACGCUUAGGAUGUUGACGCAUGAGAUAUACGC
rnacentral:rRNA from 1 species